GGAAGUGCUAUCCUGUUACUCCAUGCGUGCUAUAAAUCUGGUAUAUGUAGUGAAAUGAUGUCAUGAUGCAUGAAAAGGGCCCGCAUCAUUCAUUAUCACUCAAGGUCAAUAGGAACUUCACAUCGACUCAUGACAUCAAUUAUGUGAUCCGCUCGUGCUAACUUAUAUAAAGAAUGACUAUAUAUUUAGCAUACGUGGGAAGAGUAUGCAACUUCGAUAAGGAAAUAAUAAUGCAUUUCAGCACUUUUUAGCAAAGAACUAUGACCUACAUACCUAUACGUUAAAUUUCCUGUUUACAGAGAACAACUUGAAAAAGGCUGGAAUUUCGAGUUUUGUAGUUCCUUUCUAUAUCACGAAUAAUCAAUAGCAAAUAUAGUAGACCUAGCUAUUAUAUAGGCUUUGAAAUAUACAAAAGGAAAUUACAUGUUGUGUAUAGUCUUAAGUGUGUUAUAUAUAGAUUGUUUUAUUAACACAGCAGAAAAUCACAUCCCAAAUAUCUCGUAAGAUUUUAAAGUUCCUGCUUUAAAGCUACGAAGUCCUUAGAAUGCUAUAAAUGUAUAUAUAUAUAGCUUAAGUUUUUGGUUUACGAAACACAAACAGUGCUCAAUACCAUGUAGAUAGAGCGUAAUAUAGUUUUUCGUUUUACCUCAAAAAAACUACCCACA